rnacentral:rRNA from 1 species
UAGGGCGUAUAGUAUUUGGUCGUAGACCCGAAACCGGGUGAUCUACCCUUGGACAGGUUGAAGUUCAGGUAACACUGAAUGCAGGACCGAACCGACUUACGUUGAAAAGAGAGCGGAUGAACUGAGGGUAGCGGAGAAAUUCCAAUAGAACCUGGAGAUAGCUGGUUCUCUCCGAAAUAGCUUUAGUGCUAGCCUCAAGUGAUAAUUAUUGGAGGUAGAGCACUGUUUGGACGAGGGG